UACGAAGGGGGCUAGCGUUGUUCGGAAUUACUGGGCGUAAAGCGCACGUAGGCGGCUCUUUAAGUCAGGGGUGAAAUCCUGGAGCUCAACUCCAGAACUGCCUUUGAUACUGAGGAGCUUGAGUCCGGGAGAGGUGAGUGGAACUGCGAGUGUAGAGGUGAAAUUCGUAGAUAUUCGCAAGAACACCAGUGGCGAAGGCGGCUCACUGGCCCGGUACUGACGCUGAGGUGCGAAAGCGUGGGGAGCAAACAGG
rnacentral:rRNA from 1 species